GCCGCUCAGAACUUAAGGAAUUGACGGGGCCCGCACAAGCGGAGGAGCAUGUGGUUUAAUUCGAUGAUACGCGAGGAACCUUACCUGGGCUCGAACGUAAGAUGACUGUAGGUGAAAGCUUACAUCUCUUCGGAGCAUUUUACGAGGUGCUGCAUGGUUGUCGUCAGCUCGUGCCGUGAGGUGUCGGGUUAAGUCCCAUAACGAGCGCAACCCCUACCUUUAGUUGCCAUCAGGUUAAGCUGGGGACUCUAAAGGAACUGCCUACGCAAGUAGUGAGGAAGGCGGGGAUGACGUCAAAUCAGCACGGCCCUUACGUCCAGGGCUACACACGUGCUACAAUGGCCGAUACAGAGGGCAGCUACCUGGUGACAGGAUGCAAAUCUCCAAAGUCGGUCUCAGUUCGGAUCGGAGUCUGCAACCCGACUCCGUGAAGUUGGAUUCGCUAGUAAUCGCGCAUCAGCCAUGGCGCGGUGAAUACGUUCCCGGGCCUU
rnacentral:rRNA from 1 species